rnacentral:tmRNA from 1 species
GGGGGUGUUCUGGAUUCGACCCUAGGUUGGAGCGCGCAGCUGCCUGUCGAGAGCCGAAGGCCUCUCGUAAAUCCCCCUUCGAACAAAACAAACGGCAACAACGAAGAAAUGCUAAUGGCCGCCUAAG